rnacentral:rRNA from 1 species
AGGACGAACGCUGGCGGCGGGCUUAACACAUGCAAGUCGAACGAAGCCUUCGGGCUUAGUGGCACACGGGUGAGUAACACGUAGGCAACCUACCCUCAGCUGGGGAAUAACCAGGGGAAACCCUGGCUAAUACCGCAUAACGUCGUCGCGACCACCUGGUCGUACGACCAAAGUUCUGGCGGCUGAGGAUGGGCCUGCGUCGGAUUAGCUAGGUUGCGGGGUAACGCCACGAAGGCGACGAUCCGUAGCGGUCUGAGAGGAUGAUCCGCCACACUGGCACUGAGACACGGGCCAGACCUCCUACGGGACGGCAGCAGUGAAGGAAUAGUGACGCAAGUGGGACGAAAGCCGUAGACCGCACGCCGACGCCGACGUG